AAUUUACUCUAUUUCAGAAGCCCAAGCCGAAUGAAACAGAAACCUCUAAAAUCUCUUGAUCGGUCAAGAACAAGGAAAAACUCUCACUUAAUUUGUCUCAAGCAUUAUCACAUUUCCGUAGCUGCUAACCCAAUUUGAGGUAGACAUGGAAACGUAACUGAUACAGGAGGUGAAAUCUUAGAAAACUCAGUUGUGUAGCUAGAAAGACUAGCCAAACAUAAAGCAACAGUGUCUGUGAUGAAGGAAAGGACAUAAUAACCACCCCCAAAAAUACAGGGAUCGCUAAAGAUUAUGAAUUCCUCUCGCUUGCUGUCUGUAAAAGAACUAUGUGAAUAGGUGGCAGACCAUGAGCAGGCUCUGUUCCGGAUAACUGCAAUUGAGCCUCCUGCAACACCAAUGAUAACGAUGACAUACAAAAAAUUCCUGAAGUGACAAAGGUUAAGAGAUAAACAUUCCCUUCCAUAUAUUAAAGGCCUCCAUUUACAAGUGGUGGCCGCCGAAGAAAACUCAAAAAAAAGGUGGAAAGUAAGGAGUCUAUUAUCUGGAACCAUAUACAAACUUGGAUAACGAACUCGCAAUACGAUCCAAUCUGGUUCUUAGACCAAAGGUUAGUCUCCCUGGUGUUUUUGUGUCUUCUUUUAUAUGUCAAAACAAAUUCAUUGAUGCCUUGUAAUUGGUGCAUGUGUCUAUGCCACAGUAAAAUACAUGGUGAAUACGGUAGGUCACUAGUAAACUGUCGAGCCUUAUCUAGACCACUGGAAUCCCAUUUAGGUGGCUACUUGAUGACGCGAGUUUCGACAUGUUGAUAUUGCCGGUAAAAUUGAAUAAUGGGAAAAUUUUCUGGGAUGGUGAACUUAUCUCUAGUGCCUCGUGCAGGUUAUAAACAGAACAUUGCUCAUAUUGCGAAAGUCUAAGAUCUUUACCGGGAAAAUCAUACCCGGACAUACUUCGAAACUUAUCUUCUUGUAUGGUUGUGUAAAAUAGUCACCGCAGAUUAUAUUUCCUACUUUUUAUAUUAAUGCAUUUUAACUUAGCUUCGUUGUUGUGGAACAUGAUAUUCUUGAGACUGGCAGCGUCAACGUAAUGAAUAAAAUCAGACUUGGAGAAGCUCCGACAUAUAAUAAAGCUCGUCUAACCCCUUUGGAUGGGGUUUCAUAUGGUAUAUGGCGUGCUUAAUGUUAAAAGGAAAAAAAGAGCAGUUCUACACUAACAGUGCUUUUUGCACCGUGAGAUGUCCCGAGUGGAAUCUGCCUUUGGGAACCACCGCACAGGGAUUUAUAGGGGGCCCAUCUUUUAUGUUUCACUCGAUAGAUUUCACGGUGGGUUUCCAUAGUGAGUUUAUAAUUUUCGAAAAAAAAUAAAAGACUCACCAUUAAAAGUGCAGAAAGGAAAAUUAAAAUAUAUGAUUCUAGUUUACCGUAUCUGAAUAUAUCAGAAAGUUAAUCUCCA